CUUUUGUUGGACGGAGAAAGUAGGUGUUCUUUUUUCGAAACAAAUUACUACGGCACAACUUUUUUCUUGCCGCACAACUUUUUUUCUCAAGGGAAAAUCAACUCCUGCUGCUACUGUCUUUUUUUUUAGAACCUCCUGCUGCUAUUUCUUUUUUGAGGGGUACCUCCUGCAGUCCUGCUGCUCUGCUAUUGUCGUGAGACCUGAAUGACCUCAACGCUCGUCAGCCCAAUGAAUUCCAGCCCAGUUGUGCGCUACAGGCCCUUUCCAAUGAUAGUUGGGCCCACGGUAAGCUGCGCUUGCGCCAGCAACUGCCGCGGGGGUGCCGUCAGCCGGGGCACCCUACCUGUGAUUGCGAGGGCGGCGGCGGCGUGCAUCGACCCUUCCCGGCUUCCGGACCCCGCGCGAUGACCUAACCGCGCCUACCUGGAGCAAAGGGGAGGCCAGGUUCAGAGCAGAGAAGACUGAUCUCAGAAACAAAUUGGAGUCUGGAUUCUGGAGGGAGGUGUUGGUUCCUAUCUUAACCAGUGAAAUGUAGUAGGUUAUUUAGUUUCUAGCUAUGUACUUCAGCACAUGUCUCGAUAAAGGAGUAUUUGUUUCUAA